AAAAAAUUAAUCUUAAAAUAUUUUUUAAAACUGCUGCUGUGUCCACAGCGUUUGCUCUACAGGUCUGAUUUUACCCUCAAAACGUAGCCAUCGCUGUCCUGUUUCAUCCAAUGUGUUUACUAUUGUACUAGGUGUUAUGGUUCUUUCAUAAAUGUCACCAAAGCACAGCCUCCUCCCUCCAACUCCUCCAUAGACUCUAAUGUUAAAAUGGCUCAGAAGGUUCGUUUGAAAAUCAGAAGAGCAUGGUGUUUUUACACUGUCACCACGUCCAUAUAAUAAACUCCACAGGCAUGAAAACUGAGAAUUAGGUAGACUGGACAUUGCUGCCGCUCACGGUGAAAGAAUUUCGUCAAUAGGACCUGUACUUUUCAUUUGGGAGCGAUUUGUUUCGAGCCUGACUUUUCUGUUCAUUUUAAGCAGCAAAAGUGAGGUGCAUGUCUGUGUGCGUGUGUAUGGAGCCAUUGGGUGCAGUCACUAUAGCAACC
ensembl:lncRNA